rnacentral:tRNA from 1 species
GGGCAGAAAACUUACCACCUUGCGAGAGCGUACGGUUCGCAUCCGUAAGGUCGUCGGUUCGAUCCCGAUUAGGUCCACCA